rnacentral:lncRNA from 1 species
UAGGUGUUGGAUUAAAUAGGUCAGCAUCCUGCUUUGUGGCGGGAGGCUAUGUAGGCCGAGUCAUGUUCGAAAUCGCGUGAGGCUGGGUUGGGCCGAGUCAUGUUCGAAGUGGCGUAAGGCUAGGUAGGUCGAGUUACAAUCAAGACUCGUGAACGCUAUUUCUGUAUGCUUUAAAUGAAUUGGUUGCGUAUUUCUGACAGCUCGAGCUUUUGGGAUUAAUGGUUAGCGCCAACGAUCCAACAAGUGAUAUCAGAGCCAGAGGUCACG